UCAGAAAAACAAGCAUGGUAAUAUAAUAUGUGUUUUCACAAACAAACCUCAACAACAUAUUUUGUUGUACAUUUAUUCAUAACUUUAGCAUGUUUAUGCAUUCUGACAAACUUUGGAUUUCCUUUCAAAUAAAUAUUUUAAUGGUAUUAACCAAUUAUAUUGUGUCACAUGAUUUUAAAAUGACAGAAAAUCAUUAAUCUCAAGAUUGUGUUGCAUGGUCAAAACUUUUUACAGCCACAAAAAACUCUGCCUAAAAUCCUAGCUAGAACACUAUGGAUAUGAUUGAUAUUACAUCAAUGAGAUAACAAUCAAGCAGAAUAUAAUUCCUUCCCUAAAAAUUUUAUUUGCACUUUUUAAAUUUAAAAAAAAAAGUUUCAAAAAAAAAAAUCUCAAGGUAAAGUAUGAAUGAAAAUCCUAUCAACUGACUUAAAUCACAUUUUUU
rnacentral:lncRNA from 1 species